rnacentral:rRNA from 1 species
UACAGAGGGUGCGAGCGUUAAUCGGAAUUACUGGGCGUAAAGCGUGCGUAGACGGUCAAGUAAGUCGGGUGUGAAAGCCCCGGGCUCAACCUGGGAAUUGCAUUCGAGACUGCGUGGCUAGGGUGCGGAAGAGGGAAGCGGAAUUUCCGGUGUAGCGGUGAAAUGCGUAGAUAUCGGAAGGAACACCAGUGGCGAAAGCGACUUUCUGGCCUGUUCUUGACGCUGAGGCGCGAAAGCUAGGGGAGCAAACGGG